rnacentral:rRNA from 1 species
AAAAAAUUCAGACAACCGGAGCAAGUACUCCACUCGCUCACCACAGAAGCGGAUAACUCCUCUCUCCCUCACAGAACAUGACUGCCCCUCUUCCGCUGCAUCCCCACCGACGGCGGGACUAACACCCACCCGUGGCCGGUCCAUGCGGCCGCCCUUCCCCAGCCACCGCGCCAGUCGCUGGUCUAUGCCCCACCCUCCCGCCGCCGCGCCGGUCCAUGGCGGCCGCCAUUCCCUUACCUCUCUUCCCGUAGCCUACGACUUCCACCUCGCCUCCUGUUUCCCCAGCGCUCUCCAGCCCCACGACGAACCCGUUCGUCGACACCAGUCUGCUCCGCAGCCGCGGCUCCGCUCCGGCCGCCAACAGAUCGUCGACACUGGCCACCGCGCGGCUUUGGAGGGAUCCGACAGAGGCUCCCGAAGUGGAUGCAUGCUGGAUGCCCCUCCCCACCUCGACUGCGGCUGGAGGAGGCCGUCGAUGCCUCCUACUUCGAGCCGUCCCAGUGGGCUACCACCGCUACCCGACAACAAGGAGCACCGCCGCGUCCGUCCACGGGUACCCCUGCUCGGCAUACUUCGUAGAGGAUGUUCUACAAGCAGCCUUGCCUGGGAAGAAAACGUACAGCAUGGGCAACUUGAGCAUGGAGAAGAAAAACCCAGUCCAGUUAUUUCACUUCCUUGGCCACAACCCUCAAAGAACUAUAAAAAAUAGAAUGACUAUGCCCUGAAUAGAUUCAUUUACAUGCUAAGUCUAACUAUGUCCUGAAUAGAUUCAUUUACAUGCUAAGUUGAUACAGAUUCAUCCAUAGAGCCUGAAUGUUAAUUUUAUUCAUUCAGUCAUGCAGAUUCGAAUACUAUACUGUUAAAACAAUAUGAUGGAGGGCUCCAGUUUGUUACAGAUUCAAAUAUCCAUGUCAUUAAAUUUUUAUACAUUGUGCACAAGUCACUACUGUAAAUUCUGAAAGCCAACUUUUUCGACACCAGGAGCAGGAGAUAGGGUGCAUGAUUCAGUUAGAAAAACAGAUAGGGUGCACGAACGGCUUAUAGAAUUUGUAGCAUUUUGCUGUGCAACUGCUUAUUAUUUUGUCAUAUUCUUGGCUAUUCUCAAACGUCUAAUCAUGAGUAAUGCUGCAACGGGUCAAAGGAAGAAGUCUGACCUGAAGAAAUGGACAGAGGAAUCACAGAUGCGUGUGGCCGGCUUGUUCAGGGGAUGCGGUGGACGCGGGUGCCGGGGCAAGCUCUAUCUCCUAGGCACCGGCGAUCUCGCGGGCGCGGCGGCAGGGCCGGUACCGGGGCAGGCUCUAUCUCCUGGGCACUAGCGAUCUUGCAGGAUGGAUGCCACGCUGUGAGCGACAACAAUCGGCGAUGGCGAUCCUGCAGGGAGGCAAUGGAGCGGCGAGAUCUCCGUGCAGGGGGCGUGGGAAUGGUAGUUCCAAUACUCCUCUCCUGGUGAAGCACGGUCAGUCAUUGGAAAUUGAUAAGUGUACACCAUAAAGGUAUUAGAUCACUAAGAUCUGUUAGAUUGAGAAGUGUGGGCCUAAUCGUGUGGUGCUUAUUGAUCUGUGCGGGGGUGUGGGACUAAUUGUAGGGUGCACAUAGGAAAAUUCUUGUUGGAUUGUUUAAUAGUAGUGUAGAUACCCAACUUGGAUGCUCAUCAUUCUAGGACCAAAUUUAUAACCAUAACAAAUACCAUGCUGCUCUGAAA